CUCCUCAGCUAUGAGUUCAGUGUGUCUCUCGUGGAGCUCCACAGACGCACUCUGGACGUCGCGGUGAAGAACGGAGGAGGACUGCUCUCCAAACACAAAGGCCUUCUGGGAAAGGUUCUGGUGGAUUUGACGUACGAGGACACGUCUAAGGGUUGGACACAAUGGUAUGAGCUGAGUGAAGAUGGUCUGACGAAACCUCAACAACUAUAGAGCGAAACAACCAUCACAAUCACCAUCAUCAUCAUCACAAUCAUCAUCACCACAACCAUCAUCAUCAUCAUCACCACAAUGAUACAGUACAUCUAUUAUUUUUACUAAGUGCACAAAGUAAAGAAGAAGCAGCUUUGAUCCAUUUAACCACAUCAGUCGCAAGGCAGACCUCCCCUUUAAGAAGAGCCAGGCUUUAAAGGGAGUAUUCCACAUGUAGAAUAUUCAAUAUAUCACCAAUACUACCAUGUACUGCUGUGGAACAUAUAUUCCAU